GUAUCAUUGAGUUGGAGACCUGUAUCGACAUACUAUUUCACAGGUGAGCGGGAAAUGACACCUCCAAGUUACGUAAACUGAUACCCAUCCCUAUGAUUGUGAAUGUGAAGGAUGUACCAUGUGCAAGUACAGUAACUAUGGAAAUGGGAUGUUGUGAUUUGAUAACACAGACCAGAGGGACUUUGAGAGAGAAAUGAUUGAAGAGAAGAAAUGUCAGGAAGAAGGCAAACAUGGAGCUUGGAAUGAAGGUGAGAUUGAGAUGAUGAAAAGUUUGGGCGUUGCGAGAGCUACAGUGGUCUGAUCUCAGACUUCAAAGAAGAGGAGGGCUACAAACCAAAUGUUAAACUCGACUACAUACAUGAUGAUGAUGGACGUGUACUUAAUGCAGAGGAGGCUUUCAGGUCAGCACAGAUACCUGUCUCAUGAAUUUGAUGGAGAAGAACCUGG